UGGCGGACGGGUGAGUAAUGUCCGGGAAACUGCCUGAUGGAGGGGGAUAACUACUGGAAACGGUAGCUAAUACCGCAUAACGUCGCAAGACCAAAGAGGGGGACCUUCGGGCCUCUUGCCAUCGGAUGUGCCCAGAUGGGAUUAGCUAGUAGGUGGGGUAACGGCUCACCUAGGCGACGAUCCCUAGCUGGUCUGAGAGGAUGACCAGCCACACUGGAACUGAGACACGGUCCAGACUCCUACGGGAGGCAGCAUG
rnacentral:rRNA from 1 species